rnacentral:rRNA from 1 species
UACGUAGGCAGCAAGCGUUGUUCGGAAUUACUGGGCGUAAAGAGCGCGUAGGCGGCUCGUUAAGUGUAGAGUGAAAUCUCUGGGCUCACCCCAGAAACUGCUCUGCAUACUGGCGAGCUAGAGGGUCGAAGAGGUAUGUGGAAUUCCUGGUGUAGCGGUGAAAUGCGUUGAUAUCAGGAGGAACACCGGUGGCGAAGGCGGCAUCCUGGACCAAUACUGACGCUGAGGAGCGAAAGCCAGGGGAGCAAACGGG